GUCGAAGCUGGCGGGGGGGUUUUCCCAGACAACAGCCUGUCCCGUGCUGCUCCCUGCCAGCCCCAAAUCAGGAGUCCCCCCACCCCCGCACCACCGUGUUUCUAGUCCUGAGAGUGAUGGGCUGGGGGAUGGAGCCUCUGAAAAUUCCACGAAGGUACUGCCCAGUUUUAGCAAUGAAAGUCCCACGUCACGGGAAACCUCUGAGUCCUGGACAAAUCAAGAUGG
rnacentral:lncRNA from 1 species